rnacentral:rRNA from 1 species
GACGAACGCUGGCGGCGUGCUUAACACAUGCAAGUCGAACGGAAAGGCCCUGCUUUUGUGGGGUGCUCGAGUGGCGAACGGGUGAGUAACACGUGAGUAACCUGCCCUUGACUUUGGGAUAACUUCAGGAAACUGGGGCUAAUACCGGAUAGGAGCUCCUGCUGCAGGGUGGGGGGUGGAAAGUCUCGGCGGUUGGGGAUGGACGGGCGGCUUAUCAGCUAGCUGGUGGGGUAGUGGCUUACCCAGGCUGGGACGGGUAGCCGGCCUGGGAGGGUGGCCGGCCACAUUGGGCCUGAGAGACGGCCCAGACUCCUACGGGAGGCAGCAGGGGGGAAUAUUGCACAGUGGGCGGAAGCCGGAGGCAGCAGCGCCGCGUGCGGGAUGACGGCCUUCGGGUUGUAAACCGCUUUCGCCUGUGACGAAGCGUGAGUGACGGUAAUGGGUAAAGAAGCACCGGCUAACUACGUG